ACGUCAGAGAAAUUGACUAACUCUGCAACAAGGUAACAAGUUAACAACCAUGUGCGAGUCUGACUCAGUGUAACCCGCCCACUGAGUUGAUCCAAUUCAUACCAAAUCUGCCCUCCCUAGUCAGUUAGGCUAACUGCUCUGGUUAGGUUAGGUUAAUCCGGUUGUCCAAAAAGUAAGAACUCUCUCCAACUCUUUGCAGACAGUUCUGGAUCAAUUGCGCCAAAAGUAAGAACUUUCUCCAAGAUGCUCUGGAUCAAUUUUGAUGAUGGAAGAUGGUUUUAACUCAAUCAAAUUUUAAGCCAGGUGUUGUUCCUCUCGAUGUGCAUGAUUAUUCAAGAGGAUAUGGAUCGAUAAAUUCUUUUUAAGAAUGUCAUAUAUGGAGAUAUAUAACGAAGAGAUCAACGGUUUGCUAGCUCCCGAGCAUUGUAAAUUACAGAUUCGCAAAAACAUUGAUAAGGCUUGUGUACCGCUAAAGAGGGACUGGUUAACAUGGAAACUACUCCACGACAGAGUCUCAACUGUUGACGUGAUGCGGGAUUCAGGAAAACAUAUUUGGCCCACAAAUUUUAAUGACUGCAAGAGGAGGAUGAGAACGUAUUGAUUUUUUUUGCACAAGGUUGUGGUUUCAUUCACUAUGAUAAAUCCAGAAAACAUGUCAGGCGCACAAGGAAGGAAAUGCAAGGCCACGUCAGUAACCCACUCGGAAGCGAUCGGCAUCUUGUCAGCUAUCAAAUGGGAAGUACACCAUUCACUCCCUCGAAUUCUUUUGGUAUCAGACAACUUAUCUGUGGUUAAAGCUAUAAAUGGGUCUUCUGGUAAUCUCGACUGAGAUACUGCUAGUAUAGUACAUGACUACUUAUUUCUGCUUCAACAAUGUAGUAACUGGCACUGUGUAUAUGUUCCUAAAACUAAAAAUUUAUGUAUUAAUGCAAUAGCUAAGUUUGCUGCUGUACAUUACGAGGUAGCUCAAGUGCAGACUUGGUAUAUAUCGUCAAAGAGUCUGUCUUGUAAACUCUUUAAAAUUUAAAUAAAUAAAAAGGACCCAACUUAUAUUA